rnacentral:rRNA from 1 species
UACGUAGGGUGCAAGCGUUAAUCGGAAUUACUGGGCGUAAAGCGCACGUAGGCGGCUUGGUAUGUCGGGUGUGAAAUCCCCGGGCUCAACCUGGGAACUGCAUCCGAAACUGCCUUGCUAGAGUAUGGGAGAGGGAAGUGGAAUUUCCGGUGUAGCGGUGAAAUGCGCAGAUAUCAGGAGGAACACCGGUGGCGAAGGCGGAUCUCUGGGCCAUUACUGACGCUGAGGAGCGAAAGCGUGGGGAGCGAACAGG